UGGCUCAGUUGGUAGAGCAUGGUGUGUGCAAAGCCAAGGUUGUGGGUUCGAUUCCCAU
rnacentral:tRNA from 1 species